CAGCAUUGUCUAUCGCUUUACAUACCUACACAAGAGGCACCGUGGAACCCCUCUCGGCACAGGCAGGCCUCAACCCCUUCAUCAUUCAGACACACUCGACUCAGCCAAAGAGCUCCACUCUCAUGCAUAUCCGGUUUUUCCAGUAGGCGGGGUGGAUGCGUACCCCACGAGCAAGAAAUCCCUCAUGGAAAUAUUGAAAUGACACGGUGACGCCAUCCGAGUUUCCUCUGAAAAGCACCCUCUAGAAUUUGGAAAUAGAGAAGGGCAGAGAUUACAAUGCUUCCAAUCCUGGCUAAAGCUAACACGGAAGGCUGUCACCCAGUUCUCUGCCUGACUCCGGCCCUGUAUUCCUACACCCAUGACAACCAUCACCCUGUUUAAAUCUAUCUGCAAGUACUGCCUUGUAUCCUGCACACCUGCACACCAUGCUCCUAACCCCGACUCUGUAUGCAGCCGGCCAUACUCUGGCCUGGAGAAGUGGCUCUCAAAUGAAGAAGCUUGAAUGUUCUUGUUAGGCAUUUUCGGGCUGGACACACCAAGAGGAAACAUGCAUUCUGGGAAUAAAAUAGAUGCUUAAAUGCAUUGUGCAUCUUUAUCUUACUCACUAAUAGUUAGUAUUUUACUGUUUCUGUUUAUCAGUCUAUAAUAUCUUUUAUUUACUUAGCCUACCUGAAUAGCAACCAAACAGCUCUAUGCACAUAGCAAUACCGCCAAGCCAACUGACAGGGCACACCCGCACAAGUCUUGUCCGGACAUGGACUAAGGGUUGGAAAUGUCUUUUACUAUCAAAUAAGUUGGCCAAAAGUUUCUGAAAUCAGAAGCAUCUGUUCAGUUAAUAUUUUUUUGUAUUGUAUGCAAUAAUAAGAUGUUAUGGCAAAUAACAAAAAUAGCUAAAUACUACCUGAUAAGAUGUCUCCUUUUAUUUUCUUGUGGGGAGCUCAACUCAUAAAAGACAACUAUGUUUAGCUUUUCAUAUAUAUUUAUAUAUAUAUAUAUAUUUUUUUAUAUAUUAAUGUUGCAUAUGCUACCAAUUUAAGUUUUGCUACCAACACAUCAUUAAAAAAAGGUGAUAGUUCUAUGUUAUUGUGCAUACUCCAAACCUGAGUCUUAAAUGUGACAAAUAAAGUGUUAUGAUCCUGGACCAUAAAAGACACAAACCUCCUCAAUUCCGCCAUAAAAUUUGAGAUGAUCUUCAGAAAAUCCAGAUAGCAAAAUAUAUUGGGUGACUCUACGAUUUUCAUGUGGAUGCCCGUAGGUAGCAAUACCUGUGACAAUUGUAAUUUCACUGAGGUCUAUCUAGAAAGUAAAUAAAGCACACUAAGCAC